GUGCUUGCUUCCUCGACACAUACUAAAAUUGGAGUGAUACUGAGAUUAACAUGGCCCUGUACAAGGAUGACACACAGAUUUGUGAGACAUUCCAUAUUUUU
ensembl:snRNA U6 U6 spliceosomal RNA